rnacentral:rRNA from 1 species
AUUGAACGCUGGCGGCGUGCCUAACACAUGCAAGUCGAGCGGCAGCGCGGGAGCAAUCCUGGCGGCGAGCGGCGGACGGGUGAGCAAUGCUUGGGAAUCUGCCCAUCAGUGGGGGACAACCCGGGGAAACUCGGGCUACUACCGCAUACGUUCUUCGGAAGAAAGCAGGGGAUCGCAAGACCUUGCGCUGAUGGAUGAGCCCAAGCCGGAUUAGCUAGUUGGUGAGGUAAUGGCUCACCAAGGCGACGAUCCGUAGCUGGUCUGAGAGGA